UCGGGUGUGGUGCAUGGUGCACCGCUGGAAUAUCUUCAACAGGUAUUUUGAAAUCAAAACAGCGAGCCGGGGUUCGAUUCCCCGCACCCGAC